GCCGGGCAUGGUGGCUCAUGCCUGUAAUCCCAGCACCUUGGGAGGCCGAGGUGGGCGGAUCACCUGAGGUCAGGAGUUUGAGACCAGCCUGAGCAACAUGGAGAAACCCCAUCUCUA
rnacentral:SRP_RNA from 1 species